CUAACACUAAUUCAGAAACCUCCCGAAUUUCCCUUCUCACCCUGACAGGCUGCAGAAUAAUGACCCCGUUUUGCUCCAGAUCGUCCCAUCUUCCUAGGGGCCGGGGCAGGGAAAUGGCUGUGGUGGAUCCAGCUCAGGGGCCGGUGAGCUUCGAGGAGGUGGCUGUGUAUUUCACCGCGGGGCAGGGGGCUCUGCUGGACCCCGCUCAGAGAGCCCUCUACAGGGACAUCCUGCAGGAGAAUUAGGAGACUGUGACCUCGCUGGGUAAGGGUUCCUGUCCCCUCAGCUAUGUGAAGCCAUGGGGCCUGUAUUUCUGCCUCUGGUCAGUUACAUGAGAGGGGAAUGGGUCGCAUAGUCCACAGCGCCAGUGUGAGAGAGGCGUUCACGUCCAACCCCCCUCCAAUGCGAUAGGGGAGUCAUGGACCUAAUGGACAUGCUAAUUCAUCCCCAUCCCUCCAGCUUUCCCGGGGGCAGAAGCAGUGUCUUAUUCUCUGCAUUAAUUCUCACUCACACACAGGAUCUCAGUGCACCUCCCUUCCUGGGACUGGCUCCAUGUGUGGGGAGGGCUCUGGGGUUUCAGACACAGGCAGGGAUUUAACACCAGAGCUGUGUGUGCCUCGGCAAGUCCCCCAGAGCCCACAGACCCUGAAAAUUCCUAGUGAGGCUGUGACAGCUUCUGCCCCUCCCCCGACAUCAACGUCUCCCAUGGGGUCUCAGUGACCAUGUUUCCAUCUGUUCACAUCCCACAACCCACCAGCAAAUCAUGGGGUCAGUUUUAACUCAAGAUGUGCCGUUUGCGACAAAUACACACCAAUCCUCAGUGCACUCUGCUCAUACCUGAUUUCGCCCCCUGAGCAAGACUCCCCAUUCCCAAACCUGCCCUGAUCGCCCGGCUGGAAGCAGGAGAAGAGCGGUGGGUCCCGGAUCUCCAGGCCUCCGAGGAAAGCAACAUCCCAAGAGGCACCUGCACAGCAGGUGACAUGAGAAUGAGGACAGGAAUCCACAGCAGACAGGUCCUGACCAAGUGGAACUGCAGGGGACCUUGAAGAGCUGGACACUAUUUUUUCCCAGGGCUUGGAACAGAGAAAAGCCUGGCGUAAUCGGCACAGGUCAGAGAGGAAGCUGGGAAACAGCCCCUGGAAGAAAGUGGAUGAAUCCAUUGAAUGUGGGAGAGGAGACAAUGGUCCCAAGGAAACCACAGCCCAGCAGACAAAUCACAAAGAAAAGAAACCCGAGAAAUGCUUGUACUGUGGGAAAAGCUUCAGUCGGCAGUCUGGCUUUAUAAAGCAUGGGAGAAUCCGCACAGGAGAGAGGCCAUAUCAGUUCUUUUAUUGUGGGAAAAGUUUCAGUGCACCAUCAGCCCGUUACAUUAGAAAACACACAUGGAGUAGAAACCCUUUAAAUGCUUGGACUGUGGGAACAGUUUCAGUCAAUGCUCAAGCCUUAUUAAGCAUGGAAGAACCCACACAGGGAAGUGCCCCUCAGAUGUCCUUAGCAUGGAAAACGCGUCAAUUGGAGUUAACACCACAUUGGCCAUCAGAGAUUCCUCCCCACUGGAGGGAAAUUCUCUCCGUGCCCUGACUGGGGCUGGCCACAGUAAAAACUCCAUUUCCUAAUUCCCACCCGCAGCAGGGGCAUUUAGCUCCCAAGUAUCCAGCUGCCCAUGUCUGGGAGCAGAUUCCAGCAGCAACUGGCCCGGAGCUGAUCAGUGACCCGCUGGUUUUGCCUGGUCUCAGCAAAGCCCAGGCAGAGAAGUCCUGGUCAGCCCCUGCUCCCUGCCGCAGCCCGGGCUGCUGAACUGCUGGGCCUCCCUGCCAGCCUGCUGGGGGAAGGGAGAGAGAAACUGUUUUUGACACUCCACCCCAGAUUCGUCAUCAUUAGGAUGCAUUUUGUACAAGAUGGUCGUGUAAGGUGUCAUUGGAAAAGUUACGACUUGCGGAAUAGGAGUAUCCUGUUUGUAUUCAGGUAUCAAUUCGGUAGCUGAAGUUAUGAGUCUUGACUAUGUAUCUUUAUUUCAAAUGUAGUUAUACCUGGGUGACACCCACUAGGAAAGGGAGCAAGGAGGGUC